CAGAUGUGUAGGUGCUGCAUGGUUGUCGUCAGCUCGUGCCGUGAGGUGUCGGCUUAAGUGCCAUAACGAGCGCAACCCUCAUCAUUAGUUACCAUCAGGUAAGGCGUGGGGACUCUAAUGAGACUGCCAUCGUAAGAUGUGAGGAAGGUGGGGAUGACGUCAAAUCAGCACGGCCCUUACGUCCGGGGCGACACACGUGUUACAAUGGGUGGUACAAAGGGCAGCUACCUGGCGACAGGAUGCUAAUCUCCAAAACCACUCUCAGUUCGGAUCGGAGUCUGCAACUCGACUCCGUGAAGCUGGAUUCGCUAGUAAUCGCGCAUCAGCCACGGCGCGGUGAAUACGUUCCCGGGCCUU
rnacentral:rRNA from 1 species